AUGGCCACCGCCAUGCAGCACGCCGCCGGCUCGAACGCGGCCGCGGCUGACGACGUGGAGAUGGUGGAGGCGAGCGAGCUCCGGCGGCGGAACAAGCCGCGCGUCGACGGGGAGGGCGGCGGCGGGGGCGCCGUCGCCGCUGCGGAGGAGGACGAGGCGCCGUCCGUGGAGCGCGCGUUCGCGGACCAGCGCGUGCCGUCGUGGCGGGAGCAGCUCACGGUGCGAGCCUUCGUGGCGAGCUUCUUCCUGGCCACCAUGUUCAGCGUCAUCGUCAUGAAGCUCAACCUCACCGUCGGCAUCAUCCCCUCCCUCAACGUCUCCGCCGGCCUCCUCAGCUUCUUCUUUGUCCGCCUCUGGACGGCCGCCAUGGAGAAGGUCGGCCUCCUCAGGCAGCCCUUCACCCGGCAGGAGAACACCGUCAUCCAGACCUGCGUCGUCGCCGCCUACGGCAUCUCCUUCAGCGGUGGCUUUGGUAACUACCUACUGGCCAUGAGUGAUAGAAUCGCUUCCCAGGCAGAUGAGGCAAAUAACCCUCAAAAUAUCAAGAAUCCGCAUCUUGGAUGGAUAAUUGGUUUCCUCCUCCUUGUCAGCUUCAUUGGGCUCUUUGGUCUAGUUCCUCUGAGGAAGAUCAUGAUCAUCGACUACAAGCUGACCUAUCCAAGCGGCACUGCAACGGCCUAUCUCAUAAACGGCUUUCACACGCCCCAUGGUGCCAAGAUUGCAGUGAAGCAAGUAAAGAAACUGGGCUUAUUCUUCGUGCUCAGCUUCUUCUGGGGUUUCUUUCAGUGGUUCUACACAGCCACCGAUACUUGUGGAUUCAACCAAUUCCCAUCAUUAGGGUUGCAAGCUUACCAAAACAGGUUUUACUUUGACUUCUCUCCUACCUAUGUCGGAGUUGGAAUUAUUUGCCCACAUAUUGUGAAUGUAUCUGUUCUCCUUGGAGGCAUCCUGUCAUGGGGAAUAAUGUGGCCUCUCAUAGCCAAGAAAAGGGGUAUUUGGUUCUCUGCCGAUCUUGCUGAUACUAGUCUUCAUGGAAUGCAAGGUUACCGGGUGUUCAUAGCCAUUGCCUUGAUUCUCGGUGAUGGCCUCUACAACUUUCUCAAGAUGCUCAUUCUCACAGCCUGGUCAUUAAGAUCUCAACACAAGAAGAGUAGCGCUAGUACACUUCCAAUCUCUGAUGAUGAACCAAGUAACAGUACUGCAGCUAUAUCAUACGAUGAGGAGCGACGCAAUGAACUCUUUCUAAAGGAUCAAAUCCCCUGGUACAUUGCAUAUGGAGGCUAUGCUGCUGUUGCCGCCGUAUCUAUUGGCACUGUCCCGCAGAUAUUCCCUCAGCUGAAGUGGUACCAAAUAUUGGUAGCCUAUAUCGUAGCACCGAUACUUGCCUUCUGCAAUGCCUAUGGAACUGGCCUCACUGAUUGGUCUCUCGUUACAACUUAUGGAAAGCUCGCAAUCUUUGCUUUCGGUGCAUGGACAGGUGCUUCACAUGGAGGUGUUCUUGCAGGUCUGGCUGCCUGUGGUGUGAUGAUGAGCAUUGUUUCUACUGCUGCUGAUCUGAUGCAGGACUUCAAAACAGGAUACCUGACACUGGCCUCACCAAGGUCAAUGUUCAUCAGCCAAGUCAUAGGCACUGCAAUGGGUUGCGUAAUUGCUCCCUGUGUUUUCUGGCUUUUUUACAAGGCCUUUGAUAAUAUUGGGAUCAGUGGAACUGAGUACCCUGCACCAAAUGCUGCCAUUUUCCGCAGCAUGGCAAUAUUAGGUGUCGAUGGCUUCUCAUCGCUACCAAAGAACUGCCUUACUCUCUGCUACAUAUUCUUUGUUGGAGCAAUCGUUGUCAACUUGAUAAGAGAUCUUGUUCCCAAGAAGGUAUCAAACUUCAUACCAAUCCCAAUGGCGAUGGCAAUCCCAUUCUACAUAGGAUCGUAUUUCGCCAUCGACAUGUUCAUCGGGACAGUGAUCCUUUUUGUCUGGCAAAGGCUGGACAGAGCCAAAUCGGAAACAUUUGCACCUGCAGUUGCUUCCGGCUUGAUUUGCGGCGAUGGACUGUGGGUUCUGCCUCAGUCGGUGCUUGCUCUUGCCAAGGUGAAACCUCCAAUCUGCAUGAAGUUUCUGUCAAGAGGGAUGAACGACAAGGUGGAUGCUUUUAUCACAACAUUAUCGUAG
rnacentral:rRNA from 1 species